AGUUACUUCCCCUACUCUCAGUUGCUCUCCUCUUCGUCUCCUCUUCCGAUCCAGAGAUAGGGUUCAUCGAGUUUUCCUCUCCUUUGUGUCCCCCCUCUCACUUUCUCGUCUGAUCUACUCUACUUUUGUGGUUAUUUAGCUGUUAGUUUUGUACCUUUUGUUGUUCUAUAUGCAGGAUUUGCUCUCGGGGAUUUCUUGGGUUAGGGAUCUUUGUGCUCCAUCUGCUUGUUCAGGCUUCUUUUCUUAUUUUAUGCGGGCAUGGUUUUCCCUAUCUGCCAUAAUCCGGAUGGACCCUGUGAGCCAGGUGAUCUAGUUCUCCACGAGUUUGACGUUGUCCUCAAUGAAAGUUGCUUUAGGCACAUGUACAUUCCCUACAAUUUUAGAGCUUUUGUAGCUUAUUACAUUGAUGAGCAGAGGGAUGCUGCUAUGAUGUUACAGUACAAGAAGGUUGAGCCUGCUCUUCUUACUUAUGAAGGAAGGUCUUACCCUCCUUUGUUUAAGCAUUGACCCAAUUUAGCAAGUUUUAUGGCAAUGCUUGGUUGAGUUAACUAUGACUAUGGUCUUCGUGCUGGAGACCGGAUAGUGUUCUCUCUGGACCAUAUGACCUUUGAUCUGAAAGUGGACACUUAUCGGGGUGCAGAAAGGUUGCUUCCUAUUCUUUGUGUUGCUUUUGAAAAUUUGUAUAAUGAUAAUUACCAGUAUGUUGGCUAUGCUGUCUUCUCUCAGCAAAUAGCGUUUAACUAUCAUGAGACCCGCUUCUUUCUUUGGUGUCUCUUUCAAGACAAUUUCCUGCGUUGCCGCCCAUUUGUGCAUCUCAUGACUGUCACCAACAUCACACCAACAUCAACCGGCAUAUCAUGAAAAUCCCCAAGACCGUUGUUUGAAGCUUGAAGAGAUUUGUUGAUGUGCCGAAUGCGUUUGUCACUCUGGUAGCUAUGGAUGAGGGUGUGCAUGUAAUCACUCCUUCGUCAUUUUCUAUUAGCAAGCAAGAUGGGGGGAUGGUGAUUUAGAACAACACUUUCAAUGAGUUCUUCUCAGCCGCUUCUCUUAUUGAAGGCAAUGUUGUUCUCAUCACAUUCAAAGAACCCAUUUACAGAUCAGUGUCCAUUGUGUUGCAACAGAUCAUCUACGUGCAAAUGCUAUUCUUCUGACCUUGAUGCAAGUGAUAGUUGUAGGGGAAUGACAGUUGGUGGUUCCGAGCUUGAUCUUUUGGGGGCAAACUAUGUUAGUUAUAUGCAAUUAUGUAUGGACUCCCUUUGGAAUUAUGUUC